ensembl:snRNA U2 U2 spliceosomal RNA
AUUGAUUGUAAAUAAAUUAUUUUUUCUAAAAUCUGUUCUCAUCAGUUUAGUAUCUGAUACGUCCCCCAUCGGGGGACUACAUAUUAAAUGGAUUUUUCGAACAGGGAGUCGGAAAUGGGGCUUGCUCCACGCAUCGACCCGGUAUUGCAGUACCUCCGGGAACGGUGCAACACUU